rnacentral:rRNA from 1 species
UACGUAGGGUGCAAGCGUUGUCCGGAAUUAUUGGGCGUAAAGAGCUCGUAGGCGGUCUGUUGCGUCGGCUGUGAAAACCCGGGGCUCAACUCCGGGCCUGCAGCCGAUACGGGCAGACUAGAGUUCGGCAGGGGAGACUGGAAUUCCUGGUGUAGCGGUGAAAUGCGCAGAUAUCAGGAGGAACACCUGCGGUGUAGACGGCUUACUGGAUCAUCACUGACGCUGAGGCACGAAAGCGUGGGUAGCAAACAGG